rnacentral:rRNA from 1 species
AGCGGCGAGCGAAGCGGGAAGAGCUCAAAUUUAUAAUCUGGCACCUUCGGUGUCCGAGUUGUAAUCUCUAGAAGUGUUUUCCGCGUUGGACCGCACACAAGUCUGUUGGAAUACAGCGGCAUAGUGGUGAAACCCCCGUAUAUGGUGCGGACGCCCAGCGCUUUGUGAUACACUUUCAAUGAGUCGAGUUGUUUGGGAAUGCAGCUCAAAUUGGGUGGUAAAUUCCAUCUAAAGCUAAAUAUUGGCGAGAGACCGAUAGCGAACAAGUACCGUGAGGGAAAGAUGAAAAGCACUUUGGAAAGAGAGUUAACAGUACGUGAAAUUGUUGGAAGGGAAACGCUUGAAGUCAGACUUGCUUGCCGGAGCUUGCUUCGGUUUGCAGGCCAGCAUCAGUUUUCCGGGGUGGAUAAUGACGGUUUGAAGGUAGCAGUCUCGGCUGUGUUAUAGCUUUCCGUUGGAUACAUCCUGGGGGACUGAGGAACGCAGCGUGCUUUUUGCGAAAGACUCGUCUUUUUCACGCUUAGGAUGCUGGUGGAAUGGCUUUAAACGACCCGUC